AGAGUUUGAUCCUGGCUCAGAUUGAACGCUGGCGGAAUGCUUUACACAUGCAAGUCGAACGGCAGCACGGAGAGCUUGCUCUCUGGUGGCGAGUGGCGAACGGGUGAGUAAUAUAUCGGAACGUGUCCAAUAAUGGGGGAUAACGAGUCGAAAGAUUCGCUAAUACCGCAUACGCCCUACGGGGGAAAGCAGGGGAUCGUAAGACCUUGCGUUAAUGGAGCGGCCGAUAUCUGAUUAGCUUGUUGGUGAGGUAAAGGCUCACCAAGGCGACGAUCAGUAGCUGGUUUGAGAGAACGACCAGCCACACUGGAACUGAGACACGGUCCAGACUCCUACGGGAGGCAGCAGUGGGGAAUUUUGGACAAUGGGGGCAACCCUGAUCCAGCCAUUCCGCGUGAGUGAAGAAGGCCUUCGGGUUGUAAAGCUCUUUCGCAAGGGAAGAAAACUUAUGAUCGAAUAAAUCAUGAGGUUGACGGUACCUUGAUAAGAAGCACCGGCUAACUACGUGCCAGCAGCCGCGGUAAUACGUAGGGUGCGAGCGUUAAUCGGAAUUACUGGGCGUAAAGCGUGCGCAGGCGGUUUUGUAAGUCGGAUGUGAAAUCCCCGGGCUCAACCUGGGAACUGCGUUCGAAACUGCAAGGCUAGAGUGUGUCAGAGGGGGGUAGAAUUCCACGUGUAGCAGUGAAAUGCGUAGAGAUGUGGAGGAAUACCAAUGGCGAAGGCAGCCCCCUGGGAUAACACUGACGCUCAUGCACGAAAGCGUGGGGAGCAAACAGGAUUAGAUACCCUGGUAGUCCACGCCCUAAACGAUGUCAACUAGUUGUUGGUAGAGUAAAAUCUAUGAGUAACGUAGCUAACGCGUGAAGUUGACCGCCUGGGGAGUACGGUCGCAAGAUUAAAACUCAAAGGAAUUGACGGGGGCCCGCACAAGCGGUGGAUUAUGUGGAUUAAUUCGAUGCAACGCGAAAAACCUUACCUGGCCUUGACAUGUACCGAAUUGAGCAGAGAUGUUCAAGUGCUCGAAAGAGAACGGUAACACAGGUGCUGCAUGGCUGUCGUCAGCUCGUGUCGUGAGAUGUUGGGUUAAGUCCCGCAACGAGCGCAACCCUUGUCAUUAGUUGCUACAUUUAGUUGGGCACUCUAAUGAGACUGCCGGUGACAAACCGGAGGAAGGUGGGGAUGACGUCAAGUCCUCAUGGCCCUUAUGGGUAGGGCUACACACGUCAUACAAUGGCUGGUACAAAGGGUUGCCAACCCGCGAGGGGGAGCUAAUCCCAUAAAGCCAGUCGUAGUCCGGAUCGUAGUCUGCAACUCGACUGCGUGAAGUCGGAAUCGCUAGUAAUCGUGGAUCAGAAUGUCACGGUGAAUACGUUCCCGGGUCUUGUACACACCGCCCGUCACACCAUGGGAGCGGGUCUCGCCAGAAGUAGUUAGCCUAACCGCAAGGGGGGCGAUUACCACGGCGGGGUUCGUGACUGGGGUGAAGUCGUAACAAGGUAGCCGUAUCGGAAGGUGCGGCUG
rnacentral:rRNA from 1 species